UACGUAGGGUGCGAGCGUUGUCCGGAAUUAUUGGGCGUAAAGAGCUCGUAGGCGGUGUGUCACGUCGGCCGUGAAAACCUGCAGCUUAACUGUGGGCGUGCGGUCGAUACGGGCAUCACUGGAGUUCGGCAGGGGGAGACUGGAAUUCCUGGUGUAGCGGUGAAAUGCGCAGAUAUCAGGAGGAACACCGGUGGCGAAGGCGGGUCUCUGGGCCGAUACUGACGCUGAGGAGCGAAAGCGUGGGGGAGCAAACAGG
rnacentral:rRNA from 1 species